rnacentral:rRNA from 1 species
UAAUACGUAGGGGGCGAGCGUUGUCCGGAAUUAUUGGGCGUAAAGCGCGCGCAGGCGGCUGUUUAAGUCUGGUGUUUAAUCCUGGGGCUCAACCCCGGGUCGCACUGGAAACUGGACAGCUUGAGUGCAGAAGAGGAGAGUGGAAUUCCACGUGUAGCGGUGAAAUGCGUAGAGAUGUGGAGGAACACCAGUGGCGAAGGCGACUCUCUGGGCUGUAACUGACGCUGAGGCGCGAAAGCGUGGGGAGCAAACAGGAUUAGAUACCCUGGUAGUCCAUGCCGUAAACGAUGAAUGCUAGGUGUUAGGGGUUUCGAUACCCUUGGUGCCGAAGUUAACACAUUAAGCAUUCCGCCUGGGGAGUACGGCCGCAAGGCUGAA